rnacentral:rRNA from 1 species
GAUGAACGCUAGCUACAGGCUUAACACAUGCAAGUCGAGGGGCAUCAGAGAUAUAGCAAUAUAUUUGCUGGCGACCGGCGCACGGGUGAGUAACACGUAUCCAAUCUGUCCUUUACUCGGGUAUAGGCUCUUGAAAGAGAGAUUAAUCCCCGAUGGUAUAUAUAUCUCGCAUGAGUUAUAUAUUAAAGGUUUAUUCCGGUAAUGGGUGAGGAUGCGUUCCAUUAGAUUGUAGGUGAGGUAACGGCUCACCUAGUCUUCGAUGGAUAGGGGUUCUGAGAGGAAGGUCCCCCACACUGGAACUGAGACACGGUCCAGACUCCUACGGGAGGCAGCAGUGAGGAAUAUUGGUCAAUGGGCGCAAGCCUGAACCAGCCAAGUAGCGUGAAGGAUGACUGCCCUAUGGGUUGUAAACUUCUUUUAUAAAGGAAUAGUAGUAAAUACGUGUAUUUAUUUGAAUGUACUUUAUGAAUAAGCAUCGGCUAACUCCGUGCCAGCCGCCGCCGUAAUAC